AUCGCCCUCUCGCUGAAAUCGCUGAACCUGAGUGUCUCCACAGCCCACCAACUCGCGGCCUCUCCUCAACCCCACCGCCGCCGCAGCUGUCGCCGUCGCCGUCGCCGUUGCCCCACCUCCUCGCCGAGAGCUCUACAGUGCAGGGGAGUUGAGAUGGCGCCGGCGCCGGCGCCGCCCAAGACGGGGCCGUUCGUGGGGAUCAACACGGGGGGCCGGCGUCACCAAGCGCGAGCUCCCGCCCGCCCGUCCGGCCGCGGAGGGAAAAUUACCAAGUGUCCAUUUUGUUCAGAACUUCAUCAGGGAAGUUUACGGUUUGGGCUCCAUGCAGGGGAACUGAAAUGCCGCCGGUGCCGCUGAAGAAGGGGCUGUUCAUGGGGAUCAAUAAGGGGCACGUUGUCACCAAGCUCGAGCUCCCGCUCCGCCAUCCGACCGCAAAGGGAUAAUUGCCGAGAGGGUCCUUUUUGUUAGGAACUUGAUCAGGGAAGUUUACAGUUUGGCCUCCGUGCAGGGGAACUGAAAUGCCGCCGGCGCCGCUGAAAACGGGUCUGUUCAUGGGGAUCAAUAAGGAGCACGUUGUCACCAAGCUCGAGUCCCGCCCUGCCAUCCGACCGCAAAGGGAUAAUUGCCGAGAGGGUCCUUUUUGUUAGGAACUUGAUCAGGGAAGUUUACGGUUUGGCCUCCGUGCAGGGGAACUGAAAUGCCGCCGGCGCCGCUGAAAACGGGGCUGUUCAUGGGGAUCAAUAAGGAGCACGUUGUCACCAAGCUCGAGCUCCCGCCCCGCCUGUCCGACCGCAAAGGAAUGAGUAUUCUGCUUCCAGAAUCUGAUCAGUUCUUAUGUUCAAGCUGCUUACUUCUCUACAUUAGGUGUGUGAAAAUUGAAACGCAGGUAGAAACUUUCUUCAGAGAGGGUGGAAUAACGAUGAAGCUAGUCAAAUCCUAGAGUGCAUCUGUUGAUUUGCAUGUCGUAACGGUGAAACUGCGUCUAGGGAUCGUGCAAUUAUUGGAGUUAUCUGUUGAUGUGACUUAACAAACAUAGACAUGUGACAAUGCUUUUCCUGGAAAUUUCCACACCAAUCUAUCUUUUAGCUUUCCUGCAAAAAACAAGAGAAUGUGUCGUUUAGCUGCUGCAGGCGCGGUGAUAUUGCCUGCUUCUUGGUGGAUGCUGUCAAAAUUAGCGAGACAAGCAAUGAUGUGUGUGGUGACCAUAUAACCUUCUCCGUUUAACCAUUGUACGCUAUAUGAAGUAAUGCAUACAUAGAGGUUGUCAGUUCUUGACAGUUUAUUUACACACAAUGUUCAGGUGCCAGCUGCAAGACAGGUGUCUCUUUUCUAUGGGUGCAUAACUGUAUAUUCUUGCUCAAGUCUGAUGUUACCGUUUGUGUUUAGUCCGUCUGUGUGUGUUAUCUCCAGACCUCAGAUUUUACUGUAAAUUAUGUGCAAUUAUCACCUAUGUUAGAAGUUUCAGUCAUUAAUGGUAGUGCAAUUCUGUGAUGAGAUUAUUGAGAACGACAGCUUAGUAACAUUCCAAAAAUGGUACUCUUUCUUAUUUCAGAAAAUUACCAAGAGGGUCCUUUUUGUUUGGAACAUGAUCACGGAAGUUGCUGGAUUUGCACCAUAUGAGAAGCGUGUCACCGAGAUUCUGAAGGUUGGAAAAGAUAAAUGUGCACUCAAGGUAGCCAAGAGAAAGCUAGGCACACACAAGAGAGCCAAGAAGCGUGAGGAGAUGUCCGGUGUUCUUAGGAAGAUGAGAGCUGCUGGAACCGCCGAGAGGAAGAAGUGAGGCGGCUCGAAUUGUUGAGAAGUGUUGAAGUAGCAAAGUAUAACUGGCGAACGCUUCCGGGGCACAUCUUUGCAGCAUGGUUCCCUCGCAUCUCGUCUCUGCGGAUUUUGUGCAUUUGAUUGAUGAUGGAAUCAACUGUAAGCUUUGAUGUCGAGAAAAGAUGUGGCUGUUGAGCAGUUUGAUCUGGUUAUUUUUGCAUGGUUUAUCUGUCCCUGGGGCGGGUGUUGUUGUUGU